AAUGAACGUUGGCGGCGUGGAUUAGGCAUGCAAGUCGAGCGCUCAUCAGCAAUGGUGGGAGCGGCGAACGGCGUAGUAAUGCAUCGGAACGUACCCUCUGGACGGGGAUAGCCACGGGAAACUGUGGGUAAUACCCGAUAAUCUCUGCGGAGCAAAGGUGUGAUUCCGCCGGAGGAGCGGCUGAUGUGAUAUUAGCUAGUUGGUGGGGUAAAGGCCUACCAAGGCGAUGAUGUCUAGGGGGUGUGAGAGCAUGGCCCCCACGACCGGAACUGAGAUACUGUCCGGACACCCACGGGUGGCUGCAGUCGAGAAUCUUCCGCAAUGGACGAAAAGUCUGACGGAGCGACGCCGCGUGCGGGAUGAAGGCCCUUGGGUUGUAAACCGCUGUCAGAGGGGAUGAAAUCGUCGGGGGUACUCCCCCGAUGUUGACAGAGCCUCAAAGGAAGCACGGGCUAAGUACGUG
rnacentral:rRNA from 1 species